rnacentral:rRNA from 1 species
AUACAUGCAGUCGAGCGAAUUGAUGGGAGCUUGCUCCCCUGAUAUUAGCGGCGGACGGGUGAGUAACACGUGGGUAACCUGCCUGUAAGAUUGGGAUAACUCCGGGAAACCGGAGCUAAUACCGGAUAACAUGUUGAACCGCAUGGUUCAACAUUGAAAGAUGGCUUUUGCUAUCACUUACAGAUGGACCCGCGGCGCAUUAGCUAGUUGGUGAGGUAACGGCUCACCAAGGCAACGAUGCGUAGCCGACCUGAGAGGGUGAUCGGCCACACUGGGACUGAGACACGGCCCAGACUCCUACGGGAGGCAGCAGUAGGGAAUCUUCCGCAAUGGACGAAAGUCUGACGGAGCAACGCCGCGUGAACGAUGAAGGCCUUCGGGUCGUAAAGUUCUGUUGUUAGGGAAGAACAAGUACCAGAGUAACUGCUGGUACCUUGACGGUACCUAACCAGAAAGCCACGGCUAACUACGUGCCAGCAGCCGCGGUAAUACGUAGGUGGCAAGCGUUGUCCGGAAUUAUUGGGCGUAAAGCGCGCGCAGGUGGUUUCUUAAGUCUGAUGUGAAAGCCCACGGCUCAACCGUGGAGGGUCAUUGGAAACUGGGGAACUUGAGUGCAGAAGAGGAAAGU